rnacentral:lncRNA from 13 species
UGGGUUAGACUCCUGCUGUACCUCUCUACCAGCCAGCCAGCCAGCCAGCCAGCCAGCCAGCCAGCCAGCCAGCCAGCCAGAGGUAUGGUACAUGAGGACUGGGUGGGUUAGACUCCUGCUGUACCUCUCUACCAGCCAGCCAGCCAGCCAGCCAGCCAGCCAGCCAGAGGUAUGGUACAUGAGGACUGGGUGGGUUAGACUCCUGCUGUACCUCUCUACCAGCCAGGGUACAGUGUUACAGUCUAAUCAUGGCUCCCCUCUGGAAACCAUCAACGGGGCUAGGCCCCUGAAUCAUCCUCUAAAUCAAGAAUGAAAACCUAUUACAACACUAACUAGGGUUUUUAUGGAGUUGUUGAGGUCGAUGUCAACUAAAGUUCUGUUUUGUGAUAGGUGUUUAUAAAUGCUUUAUGAAUGUUGCCUUUCUGUGGAUGGAAAGGACUUGUCCCUCAUUAUCGGUUGUAGCUGAUUAAAGCGGCCACUUAAAUUCGAUUGUCUUGAUUUGUGAAACGCAGAUGUUUAUUGUAGUAGGAAUUGAUGAGCAACAUGCCUGAUAUUUACUGUUUGAAUGGCGCACGUGUGGGGCCUGCGGCUUACAAUUCAGUAGCCUGUUUGUUGAAUCUGUCUGUUGUGAAUUGUAACGGUUAUAAUGUGAGGUGAUUGUGGGUGGACCUCCCCCCCUAUAUCCCAUUGACUCUGACAUUGCCACUGGACACCACACAUGCAAAGUUAGUAACUCUUUCUACAAACCAUUGAAAAACAUCACUCCCAUCUCCAUCAUGUUAGUGAACCACUUCAGUUGUCAGUGUGAUUGACCAGACUGUCAGUUGUUAGUGUGAUUGACCAGACUGUCAGUUGUCAGUGUGAUUGACCAGACUGUCAGUUGUCAGUGUGAUUGACCAGACUGUCAGUUGUCAGUGUGAUUGACCAGACUGUCAGUUGUCAGUGUGAUUGACCAGACUGUCAGUUGUCAGUGUGAUUGACCAGACUGUCAGUUGUUAGUGUGAUUGACCAGACUGUCAGUUGUCAGAACUCUACAAUGAGAGGAGGGGGAAGAAGGCGUUUUCAGAAGACUCCCUCCACACGAGAGAGGAGAGGUGAAUUCCAGAAAAGGUGGGAAUUUAUGACAUUCUUUGUCCGCGUGAAACAACAAACGGUCCUGAAAGGUGUGAACAGUAUUCCAGCUCCGUCGCGGUACCUGG